rnacentral:rRNA from 1 species
GGUGCAUGGCCGUCGUCAGUUCGUACUGUGAAGCAUCCUGUUAAGUCAGGCAACGAGCGAGACCCACGCCCACAGUUGCCAGCGUACUCUCCGGAGUGACGGGUACACUGUGGGGACCGCCGCUGCUAAAGCGGAGGAAGGAAUGGGCAACGGUAGGUCAGUAUGCCCCGAAUAUCCCGGGCUACACGCGAGCUACAAUGGUUGGUACAAUGGGUAUCUACCCCGAAAGGGGACGGGAAUCUCCUAAAACCAAUCUUAGUUCGGAUUGAGGGCUGCAACUCGCCCUCAUGAAGCUGGAAUCCGUAGUAAUCGCGUUUCAACAGAACGCGGUGAAUACGUCCCUGCUCCUU